rnacentral:rRNA from 1 species
GAUGAACGCUGGCGGCGUGCCUAAUACAUGCAAGUCGAGCGAAGCGGGGACGGGUGAGUACCACGUGGAUAACCUCCUAUAAUACUGGGAUAACUUCUGGACACCGGCGCUACCCCCGAUACUUAUAUCUUGAUCCGCGCUCCAUGAGCCAGUUGGUAAGGUAACGGCUUACCAAGGCAACGAUGCAUAGCCGACCCGAGAGGGGGAGCGGCCACACGGGAACUGAGACACGGUCCAGACUCCUACGGGGGGCAGCAGUAGGGAAUCUUCCGCAAUGGGCGAAAGCCGGACAGAGCAAAGCCGCGGGAGUGAUGAAGGUCUUCGGAUCGGAAAACUCUGUUAUUAGGGAAGCGGUACCUAAGAAGAAAGCCACGGCUAACUACGUGCCAGCAGCCGCGGUAAUAC